AAACAAAACAAAAAGUAGAGCCUAGAUUAGUCAUGAGUCAUUUAUAGAUUUCGUACAGCUCAUACAGAUCUAAAACAUCUCCCUUACUCCCUAGUGGAGACAGUGUAUCUGCCAAAGUUCCUCAUCCUGCAUGGAGUGCUCUCUCCUCAUGUGGAAAUAUCCAAACCCAGCACAUCCAACAAGACUCACGUUUAAGCCCACUUCUUCUGACAGUCCUUCUUUAGGAUGUGUGAUGUGGCCUUCCUGCUCUGAACGAGCCACCUGAAUGGGCCAUUGGUGAUUUGAGUUCUACAUGCACUCAUUAUACUCAUUAUUUCCUUCUCAGAACUGUUCCUAACUUUGGAAACAGCACCAGUCUGCAGUGUUAGAAAGUGUUAGAAACGUCAGGAAAGGUCAGAGCCAGAUGGCCUGGGAGUGCCAGUCUCUUAAUGGUGCUAAAAUAUCCCUGUAAGCAUAGCAAAUGGAAGGCAAUAUACUGACCAGAAUUAUUCUCAGGAGAUACGUGAUUUGCCAUGAGACAUGUCAGCAUCAAGCAGUCCUGCCAAGUGCUAGAAGCUGGUUUAAAUUAUCUGUGAAGCUGGCCAACUGAGAGUCCAGAGGACUCCCGCUUCCCUCGCCCGAGGGAAGACCUGCUACCCUAGCAGGCCUGUUGGAACGAAGACCUGUUCUAACAUCUCGCCCACCUCCAAAGCUGAGCGUCCAGAGUUUCUAUUCCUCUCAGAAACUCAUCUGGCAAAAAAGUGAGGGAACUGCUCACAUCCCUGACAAGCAGGCUCCAAAUGUUGGAGAUUAUUUUCAGACUCAUGAGGACAUUUAGAAGAUUACCUGGAAUACAUGGAUGUCAAUGGGUCAAAUUGUGGUUCUAAGUAAAGUCAAAAUCUGCUAGGGCUUCUGAGAAACAUGUUAUUACAAGUGCAGGCCUUCUCUUUCCAUAUUUUUUCUACUUCAGUGUGUAUAUGAUGGCUGGAGCUGCGGUAGUCAUCUUAUAAGCAAG